CGCCUCUUGCAAAAUUUACAAAUAAGAGGUCCCGCCUGCCCUGUGACUAUAUGUUUAACGGCCGCGGUAUUUUGACCGUGCAAAGGUAGCGCAAUCACUUGUCUUUUAAAUGGAGACCCGUAUGAAUGGCAUAACGAGGGCUUAACUGUCUCUUCUUUCAAGUCAAUGAAAUUGAUCUCCCCGUGCAGAAGCGGGGAUGCGCACAUAAGACGAGAAGACCCUGUGGAGCUUUAGGCACUAAAGCAGAAUAUGUAAAGUACCCCAAAUUAAAGACUAAAACAGCUUAUGACCUGCCCUAAUGCCUUCGGUUGGGGCGACCGCGGGGAAAUAAAAAACCCCCAUGUAGAACGGGAGCACUGCUCCUACAACUUAGAGCCCCCGCUCUAAUUAACAGAACCUCUGACUAAUAAGAUCCGGCAAUGCCGAUCAACGGACCAAGUUACCCCAGGGAUAACAGCGCAAUCCCCUUUUAGAGCCCAUAUCGACAAGGGGGUUUACGACCUCGAUGUUGGAUCAGGACAUCCUAAUGGUGCAGCCGCUAUUAAGGGUUCGUUUGUUCAACGAUUAAAGUCCU
rnacentral:rRNA from 3 species